CUACCACGUUCCCUUGCGGUUCCCAGAAUUCCCAGCAUCUACACAUCAUCUAUGAUGUGUAGAUGCUGGGAAUACUGGGAACCGCAAGGGAGCAUAGUAGCUA
rnacentral:miRNA from 1 species